AGCCCAAACCUCAGACACGUUCAAGCCUGCAAGCGUUGUGUAUGGGGGGUAGCGGGAUGUCGCCGGAUGGAAUUGCAGUUCCGUCGGGAAGUCAUCAAUUCAGAGCAUAGCUGAAAAGUCCUGGAAAGGCUUAUCAUAGAAGGUGAUAGUCCGGUAGGCGAAAUGCGCUGGACUUCCUGGGCGGCACACCCAAGUACCACGGGACACGUGGAACCCUGUGGGAAUCUGGGAGGACCAUCUCCUAAGGCUAAAUACUAUCCUUCGACCGAUAGUGAACCAGUACCGUGAGGGAAAGGUGAAAAGAACUCCUGCUAGGAGAGUGAAAUAGUACCUGAAACCGCAUGCCUACAAGCAGUGGGAGGCCCGGGCCCGAUCUUCGGAUCGGGUACAGCUGACCGCGUGCCUUUUGCAUAAUGAGCCGGCUAGUUAUUCUAAGUAGGGUAACACCUACCGGAGGUCCGAACCAGUGUUGGUUGAAAACAGCUUGGAUGAGCUGAGGGUAGGGGUGAAAGGCUAAUCAAACUCAGUGAUUGCUCGUUCUCCCCGAAAUAGCUUUAGGGCUAGCCUUGAGACUUUCAAUCCCGGUGGUAGAGAACUGGAUGGACUAGGGGCCUUACAGGGUUACCGAAUCCAACCAAACUGCGAAUGCCGGAGAUUGUGAUCUCAGGAGUCAGACUGUGGGGGCUAAGCUUCAUAGUCAAAAGGGAAAGAACCCAGAUCACCAGCUAAGGUCCCAAAAUACGAGCUAAGUGGAAAAGGAUGUGGAAACACUUGGACAACCAGGAGGUUGGCUUAGAAGCAGCCAUCCUUUAAAGAAAGCGUAACAGCUCACUGGUCAAGUGGGUCCGUGCCGACAAUUCAACGGGGCUUAAGCUCGUUACCGAAGCUGUGAAUUACCUGCCACAAGGCAGUAGUGGUAGGGGAGCAUUCCAUAGGCCAGAGAAGUUGACCGGUGACGGUUGAUGGAGGUAUUGGAAGAGACCCUGCCGGCAUAAGUAGCGAUAAUCGCGGUGAAAACCCGCGACGCCGAAAAUCUAAGGUUUCCUGGGGAAGGUUAAUCCGCCCAGGGUCAGUCGGUCCCUAAGCUCAGGCCGAAAGGCGUAGGCGAUGGAGAUGCCGUCAACAUUCGGCAACCACCCGCGUGGCGUUACCAGCAAUGGGGAGACGCAGAAGGAUAGGCUGCCCCUCCGAUUGGAAGUGGAGGGCUAAGCGCGUAGGGGGUUCGGUCAGGAAAAUCCGGCCGGGCAUUAACUCCGAGAAGCGAUGUCGAGCCGCAAGGCGCAAAGCAGCUGAUUCCACACUGCCGGGAAAAUCCUCUAGUGAGCCUCACAGGUGACCGUAAAUCCUAAGGCGCUUGAGAGAACACUCGUUCAGGAACUCGGCAAAUUAACUCCGUAACUUCGGGAGAAGGAGUGCCCACGUUAGGUGAAGGGUUUUACAUCUGGAGCUGAAGUGGGUUGCAGUGAAAAGCGUCAGGCGACUGUUUACUAAAAACACAGCACUCUGCAAAGACAAAAAAUCGAUGUAUAGGGUGUGACGCCUGCCCGGUGCCGGAAGGUUAAAAGGAGGGGUCAUGGGGAGCAAUCCCCAGAAGCUCUGAAUUGAAGCCCCGGUGAACGGCGGCCGUAACUAUAACGGUCCUAACCCGGUGAACGGCGGCCGUAACUAUAACGGUCCUAAGGUAGCGAAAUUCCUUGUCGGGUAAGUUCCGACCUGCACGAAUGGCGUAACGAUCUGACGACUGUCUUAACGAGUGACUCAGCGAAUUUGUAAUACCGGUGAAGAUGCCGGUUACCCGCCACUAGACGGAAAGACCCCGUGCACCUUUACUACACUUUAGCAAUGUAUUUCGGUGCGCUAUGCGCAGAAUAGGUGGGAGGCUUUGAACUGUGGGUUUCGGCCUGCAGGGAGCCACCGGUGAGAUACCACUCUUAUCGUUCUGAGAUACUAACCUCCGCUCGUGAUCCGGGCGAGGGACAUUGCUUGACGGGUAGUUUGACUGGGUAACGGAGGCGCUCGAAGGUGUGCUCAGGCUGUUUGGAAAUCAGCCAUCGAGUGUAAAGGCAUAAGCAAGCUUAACUGCGAGACAGACAAGUCGAGCAGAUGGGAAACCAGGACUUAGUGAUCCGGUGGUUCUGUAUGGAAGGGCCAUCGCUCAACGGAUAAAAGGUACGCCGGGGAUAACAGGCUGAUCUUGCCCAAGAGUUCAUAUCGACGGCAAGGUUUGGCACCUCGAUGUCGGCUCAUCGCAUCCUGGAGCUGAAGAAGGUUCCAAGGGUUGGGCUGUUCGCCCAUUAAAGCGGUACGUGAGCUGGGUUUAGAACGUCGCGAGACAGUUCGGUCCCUAUCUGUGGUGGGCGCAGGAUAUUUGAGGGGAUCUAUCCUUAGUACGAGAGGACCGGGAUGGACGAACCUCUAGUGCACCAGUUGUCGUGCCAACGGCAUAGCUGGAUAGCUAAGUUCGGAUGGGAUAAAUGCUGAAAGCAUAUAAGCGUGAAACCCACCUCAAGAUUAGAUAUCCCCACCCGCAAGGGUGCUAAAGACCCCUGGAAGACCACCAGGUGAUAGGCUGGGUGU
rnacentral:rRNA from 1 species